rnacentral:rRNA from 1 species
GAUGAACGCUGGCGGUAUGCCUAACACAUGCAAGUCGUACGAGAGUUUUUAACUCUAGUGGCGGACGGGUGAGUAACACGUGAGAAUUUGCCUUUAGGAGGGGGACAACAAUCGGAAACGAAUGCUAAUACCCCAUAUGCUUUCGAGUGAAAUGGAUUUUAUCCGCCUAGAGAGAAGCUCGCGGCUGAUUAGCUUGUUGGUAAGGUAAGAGCUUACCAAGGCGACGAUCAGUAUCUGGUUUGAGAGGACGAUCAGACACACUGGAACUGAGACACGGUCCAGACUCCUACGGGAGGCAGCAGUGGGGAAUUUUCCGCAAUGGGCGAAAGCCUGACGGAGCAAUACCGCGUGAGGGAAGAAUGCCUAUGGGUUGUAAACCUCUUUUUCAGGGUAGGAAUAAAAUGACGUGUACCUGAAGAAUAAGCAUCGGCUAACUCCGUGCCAGCAGCCGCGGU